UACGUAGGGUGCGAGCGUUAAUCGGAAUUACUGGGCGUAAAGCGUGCGUAGGCGGUUCGUUAUGUCUGCUGUGAAAGCCCCGGGCUUAACCUGGGAAUGGCAGUGGAAACUGGCGGGCUUGAGUGUGGCAGAGGGGGGUGGAAUUCCGCGUGUAGCAGUGAAAUGCGUAGAGAUGCGGAGGAACACCGAUGGCGAAGGCAGCCCCCUGGGCUGACACUGACGCUGAGGCGCGAAAGCGUGGGGAGCAAACAGG
rnacentral:rRNA from 1 species